UACGGAGGGGGCUAGCGUUGUUCGGAAUUACUGGGCGUAAAGCGCACGUAGGCGGCGCGACAAGUCAGAGGUGAAAGGCCUGGGCUCAACCUGGGAACUGCCUUUGAUACUGGCGUGCUGGAGUCCGGAAGAGGGUGGCGGAAUUCCCAGUGUAGAGGUGAAAUUCGUAGAUAUUGGGAAGAACACCGGUGGCGAAGGCGGCCACCUGGUCCGGUACUGACGCUGAGGUGCGAAAGCGUGGGGAGCAAACAGG
rnacentral:rRNA from 1 species